ACAAGACGGGUGAAAAGAGGGCAGCGCUCGCUACAAUUCUGUGUAGAUAUCUCGGUGGUGCGUGCACUUGUUUUCUUUUCCCCCUUGUGUAUUGUGCGCCAUUGCCUCCGUGCGCGUGCCUCGACACGUUCUUGAGACACACACGCGGACAUACGUCUCUGGCUCCGUUUCGUCCUCUUCUCCCUUGGGUUCGUCAGGAGCCGAGCGACGCGUUCCAGAAGUCGGUGAUGAUCUCCGUUUUGUUGCAGCGUUUGCGAUACAUCUCCUCCUCCUCGUUUCCUCCCGCCUCCACAUGUAUACACACACAAGAAGCGCACGUGCAGCCACAUUCCGACAAGCCACCACCUUCCUCCCCCCUUUUCCUCUGACUCUUUAUCCCUUCAUCCCUCCCCCCGAUACACCGACAGACACAAACUUCAAUACAGUACUUGUGUUGCCAAACCCUAUCCGUUCUCUCUUUACGCACAUAUCCACUUCUCUGCUGAAUCCAUUACGCACCAACCCCCUCUUUCCGCAUGUGACAUUCGUUUUCUUUUUAUGUUUUUUUUUUUUUGUUACUACUGUUUUCCUUCCCCCAUCUUGCACCAUCCCAGUGGUUUCAAUCUGCAUCUGGCUUUGCCAGUCUCUCCCGCGGUUACUUUCGCGGCUGUGCAUGCUUCUGAGGUCGUCUUGCUCUAUGUGAGUUCUCUCCUCUUCCCUCCCAUUUUCUUCUUUUCUCCUCGGCUGGUGAAACGACUGCUUCAUCCGCUUCUCUUAGCGCACCUUCAGCCCUCCUUUUAAUUUUCCCAGCUGCCUCGCCAGAGCUCGCGGGUCUGCAGGCCGCCGUCCGGAAACGCUCUCCAGUGUGUUCUGUGCCUCGUAAGAGGGAUACUCGUCGGGGAGGACGAAGCGGGGCGGCAGGUAUAGGCAAAGGUAAGACGAAGGCGCAGACGGGGGGGAGGCGGUCUAGCAUUUGUCUGCUUGGUUAGGGCUCGGAGGCAGGGGAGACAGAAGAGCGUACAAGCACGAGCUCGCCAGUGCGCAGCUGACCGCGGAAAGAGAAAAAAAAGCCCAGCAAGCUCUGGAAGAACUGCCCGCCAUGUUCGAUGAGUUUCGUGAGGACUCGGUAGAGCCGCUACCAAUGGAUGCCAGUAAGAGCUCAUCAACGCCAUGGGUGAACUGGGGGCCGUCCAUCGACGGCGAGGCUACGCCAUGCUUCAAAGGCGGUUUUCUCUAUCGGAUUAUCGAUUCCAAGAAGAAAGUCUGGGCUCUGUAUAACGACACGUUCGUCUACGAAAUGCAUGCCACCUUUAUUUUCGGGCCUGUGUCGAAUAUGGAGCCCAUCACCGCCUCGCUCUCUGCGUCGGAGAGCGGCGGCGAGGUGGAUGACAAGAACCGCGUCGUCGCCAGCGUUGAGGGCAACGAGCUAACGAUCUCCAUGGUUGUUUAUCCGAUGGAGACGAUCGAGUUCGCCCGGGGCGACAAGUCGAAGUACAGAUGCCACUUCGACGGCAAGCCGCUCUCAAAAGAGUACCUUCAACGCGAAACAGCCUUGGCAAACGCCGAGCUAGAAAGGAACAAGGUGACGCUCGCGAGGUUCAUCCACACCUCCACAGAUCCUGAGGAUGUGCUGGCGUUGUGCAAAAAACACCGUUUGACGUUUAUCGACCCUUCCUUCCCUCCUGGCCAGCACUCGCUUGACGGGGAUCGAGGCCUGAUUGCGCCGAGCGGGUGGAGGCGCCCAGAGGCGUAUCUGCCUCUCGCGUUGAAGGGUCAAAUUCGUCUGUUUCGGCAUCGUGUGACCCCCUCGGCCACACAGCGUGGCGAAUUGGGCAAUUCGUGGGUGGUGAGCGCCAUGGCGGCGCUGGCGGAACACCCGGACUACAUCAAGGAUAUGUUUCGGCACCCCAUCAGCUCUGAAGAGACGCAGCGAGACGAGGCGGUUGGGGCAUACCGGGCUUGGCUGAACAAAGACGGUCUCUGGAGCUCGGUACUCGUCGACAGCUAUCUGCCCGUGGUGGGCAAGCAGCAGCGCUACGCCCGCAGCGCCAACGGGCCGUGCGAGAUGUGGGUGUCGUAUCUCGAGAAGGUGUAUGCGAAGCGUUAUCACAGCUACAUCAACAUCGCCGGCGGCGAUCCGCUCUUUGCAAUUCGCGACUUUACCGGAUUUCCCACGGCGCGGCUGGACGUCCGCUUUCGCGAGUGUGUUACGGACCCGGUGAAGAGCGAUAUGUUUUUCCUUCGCAUGGUACGCGACUACGAGAGCGGGCACCUUGUGCUACUGAGCACUCCCGGCAGCGGUGACCCGCGCUCUGCCCAUAGCACAUACAAGGAGAAGGGCAUUUUUGUGGGCUACGCCUAUGCAGUGCUAGAAGCUCGCGCGAUUGAAUUGCCGACGCUGCGGCGGAAGAAGGUGCCACCGCUGCGGCUGCUGCGGCUGCGCAACGCGUGGGAGGCGGCGACCAAGUGGAGUGGCAGGUGGUCUGACGACUCGCCGAUGUGGCAGGCGCACCCGGAAGCGUGUGUUGCGUUUCCGCAGCACAGCGGGAAUGAUGGAACUUUCAUCAUGGAGUGGUCGGAGGUGCUGGAGAUCUUUGUCGGCUGCGGUGUUGUGUUCAACCACUUCGGCUACGCGGACUACCGCAUCCCCUUCGAGUUCCGGGGCUCUGUGCCGGACCUGUGUCUCGAGAUUCACGUGACGGAGCCGACAACGUUGACGCUCAUUCUGUCGCAGCCAGACAGCAAAGGCACGGUGAGGGAGUCGGAGGACUACAACCCUGUCAUGAUCUCCAUAGCGGGCGCCUCCUCCGCCACGACGAGCCCGGUUUCCCAGAAUGGCAGCAAGCGUAGUAGCGGGACCUCCAGCCACUCCAUGAUGACGGCCAGUACACAGCUGGUGGCGCGCGAUUACUCUCUCCUCGUCAAUUCCUCUGCGGACGCCGAGACGCCGUCGAAGAGCUUCACGUUCUUGCAGGGCCGCGACAUAAGCGCCAUAUACACGUUCGUCCCAGAGCAGUCGCCGUACCUCGUCGUGCCACGUCUGCUUGUGCAGCAGUCUAGCGGCAGCAACGGCACGAGGGCGUCCAGUGCAGCUGCGACCUCGGCAUCAAACAGCGCUGUGACGUGUCCAUGCGUGCUCGGCGUUCUUUCGCAGCUUGCCUUUACCCCAAACGGACAGGCACACGUUCGUCUGCGCAAGUUGCCAGCGAACAGUCUCGUCUUUGACAACUACCUCAGCUUCGCCAACGACUCCGUGGAGGUCGAGAAGACCUUCUACGUGAAACGCUCCGCCACCGGUGUGGCGGAGCGCAGCGCCUCAGAACUACAGUAGACAGACCAGGGAGUGACGUAGCCGUUGGGCAGAAAGGGUAUCUCAGGAUCAGCGGAUGGGGAAGGAAACAGGCAACAAAUGAGCAGCGUUGCACCCCGGUGCCGUGAGUGGCCGAGGAGUCAGGCAGAUUCGCAAGAGAUCGCCACUUGUGGAUGAAAGCACGUUUCACAACUGCGGAAAGGUGGUGAAUGGCGGGGAGAGAAAGAGAGGAGGGCUCGUGUGGUUUCGCUGUCCGAGCACGGAUGACAGGGAUGGUGCUCUGCCUUGCCCCGUCUCACUUUUGGCGUGUCCUCUCCUCUUUUUCUGGCCGGUUUCUCUGUUCCACGUUCCCCUCCAUUCUCCACACUUGGCUCCUUGUCCCCGUAGAGGAUGCCGAUAACGAUGCCGUGUGUAUGGCGCCUGUGCGUGUGCGUGUGUGCUGUGACGCAUGCCUCUUCUCAUUUUUUUCAUGUCCUGAUUUCAUUGCCCGCUCUUCACCAUCAUCGACAAGCGGAACGAAGCGAGGGAGGGGCAAUAGGGAAUGCUUCUUUUUUUUCUAUCUUCAGUGCUUCUUCGCCCCCCUUUUUUCGCCCCCUUUCUGCGGUGUUGUUCUCUCUUUUCUUGUGUUGACCUCUUCUCUUUCCCAACAAACACAGAAAGCUGAAGCAGUCAAAGAAGCAGAGAAAGCAACAAGAAUUCCGCGGGAGAUGGGGUGGGCGGAGGCGAAAUGCGAGCCAGCCACCAAGCAGCGACUUCAGGCUGGUAGUGAAACUACAACAAGCGGUUUUCUCAUUUAUUCGCAUGUGCCGCUCCUUCUUAUAUAUAUAUAUAGGGAUGUGCAACCACUGAGGCUACUGCGCCCCUGCGCGUGUGUAUGUGCCAGUGCUGGCUAUAUAUAUGGGGUAUGCAGCAGCAGGGAUGAUACUGUUGCACUGUGGGCACUGGGUUUUGUGGAGCGAGCGAGAGGAGACGGAAGACAAAAGAGCAAGGACAGAUGCACAAGAGGAAAGAAACGCUGCCGCAACGACUAACACAGCUGAAGAGAGCCAGAAGAGUGUCGACGGCUUCUCUUCCGCUCACGUUUACAAGAAGAAGAGCACACCGACGAUCUACAAGCGGCAAGAAAAAGGGAAAAAGAGUCAGAAGGUGCUUGUGUGUACAUCAACACAAAGAGUGUUCACGGCUCCCCUCUUUCAUCCAUCUUUACUUUUUUCCCCAUGCCGAUUGCAUAUUCCUCCCACGUAGGGAAAAAGCCAAGACACGCGUGUGAAUCGCAUUGUUGAUUGGAAGGGGAAUGCGCUCUUAUACCUAUUUCCCCCCAUCACUUACCUUUCCUCAGCAUCUUUUCUACCCCGCGUGAGCGUAUGUGUGCAUUGUCAUUCUUCACGUCAGGCCUCUCUCUUUUUUUCUUUCUCUCUGCCCCUGCCUGCCCAUCUGCCUCUUUCUUCGUGUGUUUUGUUUUGCCCUUUCAAUGCAUUUUCUUUUCGUUUUCGAUGGCUUGCCUUUGUGUCGCACUCAUCGCGCAGACGCUGACAGGAUAAGAAAUCAUUAGGAAAAAAACAAUCUGGAAAGAAAACGACGAAGGAAACAGAAGAUGCACCGGCGAACCGCAAUACGCGGCGAAACUCCUGAAACCCGCUCUUUUUUUUUCGGUUGCGUUGCUUCAACCUCGCUCUUCGAUCACUCUCGAGUUCAGAAGAGCAAAAAGAAAGGCCGCAUCGGUUAUGCUCCCCCACUUUCCUUUUUUUUUUCGUAUGCUUGAGCGCUUGAUGGUUUCCGGUGCCUUGGCUCCUUUCUUCGUGCCCUUCUCCCCUCCACCAACCCGCCAUCAGCCUCCCCACCUCUUCUUAUACACGUCUUUUUCUCUUCUUCCCUAACGUUUGCGAGGUGCUCCUCUUUUUUCUCUGUUUUUUUUUUCAUUUCUCCGUCUCUCUCUCUCUCUCUCGCUCUGUGUACGCGCGUGACAUUGUUCCUUCGGUUCGGUUCUGCCCUGCCCCCUUGUACGCGUGCGCAGUGCGGCCCCUCUCUCGUUCUUAGUGCUGUUGUUACAUGUCCAAUCAAUGCCAUUUUCAUUUCUUUUUGUUUGCACUUCUCCCAACUCCCUUUUUUGUUCACCUUCUCACUUGAGCUUCCCUGGUGACGUGUGGACCCCGCUCAGUGCGCCGUAUCUCAGGGUCCACUACCCACGCACUGUGUGGUGAAGCUAAGCAGCCCUCCCCAGCCCUAUCCCCUGCCGGAUGCAGAACCACCUCUGGUGGUGACAUGGCCAGGCCCUGGAUGGCGUUGCGUUGGAGCGACCUGCGACAGUGGGUCAGCGUACACGUCUGCGCCAUCCACGUGACAGGCAGAGCGUCAGCGUGACGCGAGCGCAUAUCCCACCCCCGGCCCUCGCGCUGCCUACAGCGGUGUGGGGGAGGCCUGAGGCACCCCGAGGGGAGGAUGCACCAGGCGGCGACCGGCAUGAUGCGGGAGCGGCGGUGAGGCGUGUCUAGGGCUGCUUCUCACCACGCGAUGUGAGGCCUGUGACAGGCCUGGCCGAGUGGUGUUCAGCGCAUGCUCUGUGGCAGAAUGGACACCUUGAAUGAAAAAAAAAAAGGAACAGACGCACGAGCUGCGCGCGCAUCUUCUCGUUCCUGAUCUUGCGUUGACUCUAACCUCUACCGUUCUUCUUUAUGUGCUUACCUUUUUCCUCUUUUUCUACGUCAG
rnacentral:misc_RNA from 1 species